UUUAAAAGCACGAGCAGGACUGCACUAGGAGGUCUGUGUCCCUCGUUGACCCCGAAGCCACCUCCUUGUUCCUUGUGGUACCCAACAGGGCACAAGGAUAGCUUCCCCAGGGAAGGUUACAGAUGUGUGUCUCUCAGCCAAGGACAGAGCCCAGGACAACAGACAGACAAACAGAUGGAUGGACGGGAGGCUCCUGCUCCUUGUUACAGUCAAGUGCAUCAUCUCUGUCUGAGCCUGCCACCUUCAGUAUUUGGUAGCCACCCUUCAGAUGAUGGAAAUUCCAUUCUGACCUCUUUCCAGGCACGUUCAGAAUCUCUGGGGUUGAGACUUCUCCAAAAACUUCUGCAGGAUCCUGGUGGGAAGCUCUCUCCUCUCUCUGCGUCAGCUUCCUGGGGGACCCACCGUUCCUUCCAGCCCAGAGCGGCAUCACUGUCUACACAUCACAAGCCUGGGUUGGUGUCGAGUGUCUCUGACUUUGGAGUCUCGAGCCCCGGACUUAGUUUUAUGGGCUUUGGCUGUCGAGGGCAGCCGACGACUCCAUCCAUCAACCGGGGACUGCUCUAACACUAAUGGUGAAUUUAUAGAAGUGGUUAAACAAAGUGUUGACAAUGCGGACGGUGUGUUUCUGAUUAACACACGAUUCCGAGGGAAGCUGCCAUCCGAGGGGGGAGUCAGUAAAACACAGCAGUGAAUUCCCAGGCCCCGGAGACUCCGACUAGACUGGAUCACCAGAGG
rnacentral:lncRNA from 1 species